rnacentral:ncRNA from 1 species
GUAAAAGCAAUGACCGUGCAGAGUAGAGACUCAUUUUCUAUCAGAGAGAGAGAAUCACCGGCUGAAAGUUCUCUUUAGUUCAGAUGACGAUCGAAUUUCCCACGCGAGCUGUAUUCCUGAACCGCUGUAUGAAAGCGUCCGCCGUUGAGACGGGGCAGAGGCAGCGAAGCCUUCGGCUUUGGAAAGUAGGGAAUGCCGUAGGUUGUACGUUACACAAGGACAGAGCGCCCAUGGGAAACCAUGGGAAUCAGGGUGGUACCGCGGAUUAUGACUUCGUCCCUUUU